UACCAGCACCCCGAGUGGUCGGGACGAUUAUUGGGCCUAAAGCAUCCGUAGCCGGUCCUACAAGUCUUCCGUUAAAUCCAGCUGCUCAACAGAUGGGCUGCGGAAGAUACUAUAGGGCUAGGAGGCGGGAGAGGCAAGCGGUACUCAGUGGGUAGGGGUAAAAUCCUCUGAUCCAUUGAAGACCACCAGUGGCGAAGGCGGCUUGCCAGAACGCGCUCGACGGCGAGGGAUGAAAGCUGGGGGAGCAAACCGG
rnacentral:rRNA from 1 species